AUACGGAAGGUCCGGGCGUUAUCCGGAUUUAUUGGGUUUAAAGGGAGCGCAGGCGGAGAUGCAAGCGUGACGUCAAAUUUCGGGGCUCAACCCCGUCUCGCGUCGCGAACUGCGUCCCUUGGUUGCGGGAAGGGGAGGCGGAACUCGUGGUGUAGCGGUGAAAUGCAUAGAUAUCACGAAGAACUCCGAUCGCGAAGGCAGCCUUCCGGCCCGUCAACGACGCUCAUGCUCGAAGGUGCGGGUAUCAAACAGGAUUAGAUACCCUGGUAGUCCGUACAGUAAACGAUGGACACCCGCGGUUUGGCCUAUAUGGCUGAGCCGCCAAGCGAAAGCGUUAAGUGUCCCACCUGGGGAGUACGCCGGCAACGGUGAAACUCAAAUGAAUUGGCGGGG
rnacentral:rRNA from 1 species